UACGUAGGGGGCGAGCGUUGUCCGGAUUUAUUGGGCGUAAAGAGCUCGUAGGCGGCUGUUCGAGUCGGGUGUGAAAUCCUGAGGCUUAACCUUGGGUCUGCAUUCGAUACUGGGCGGCUUGAGUCUGGUAGGGGGAUCUGGAAUUCCUGGUGUAGCGGUGGAAUGCGCAGAUAUCAGGAGGAACACCGGUGGCGAAGGCGGCAUCCUGGACCGGUAUUGACGCUGAGGCGCGAAAGCCAGGGGAGCAAACGGG
rnacentral:rRNA from 1 species